rnacentral:rRNA from 1 species
GACAGAGGAUGCAAGCGUUAUCCGGAAUGAUUGGGCGUAAAGCGUCUGUAGGUGGCUUUUCAAGUCCGCCGUCAAAUCCCAGGGCUCAACCCUGGACAGGCGGUGGAAACUACCAAGCUGGAGUACGGUAGGGGCAGAGGGAAUUUCCGGUGGAGCGGUGAAAUGCAUUGAUAUUAUGGGGAACACCGAAAGCGAAGGCAAAAGACUGGACCACUCCUGACGCUGAAACACGAAAGCGUGGGUCGCGAAUGGG